rnacentral:rRNA from 1 species
AGAGUUUGAUCCUGGCUCAGAAUCAACGCUGGCGGCGUGCCUAACACAUGCAAGUCGAACGCGAAAGUCCCGCAAGGGAUUAGUAGAGUGGCAAACGGGUGAGUAACACGUGGGUGACCUGCCUUCGAGUGGGGGAUAACGUCCCGAAAGGGACGCUAAUACCGCAUAACAUGCUGCCUUUUAACAGGCGGACAUCAAAGCUGGGGAUCGCAAGACCUAGCGCUGGAAGAGGGGCCCGCGCCUGAUUAGCUAGUUGGUGGGGUAAUGGCUCACCAAGGCAACGAUCAGUAGCCGGCCUGAGAGGGCGGACGGCCACACUGGGACUGAGACACGGCCCAGACUCCUACGGGAGGCAGCAGUGGGGAAUUGUUCGCAAUGGGCGCAAGCCUGACGACGCAACGCCGCGUGGAGGAUGAAGAUUUUCGGAUCGUAAACUCCUUUCGAUCGAGACGAAUGGCCUUCGGGUGAACAAUCCGGAGGAAUGACGGUACCGAGAG